AUACGUAGGGUGCGAGCGUUAAUCGGAAUUACUGGGCGUAAAGCGUGCGCAGGCGGUUAUAUAAGACAGAUGUGAAAUCCCCCGGGCUCAACCUGGGACCUGCAUUUGUGACUGUAUAGCUAGAGUACGGUAGAGGGGGAUGGAAUUCCGCGUGUAGCAGUGAAAUGCGUAGAUAUGCGGAGGAACACCGAUGGCGAAGGCAAUCCCCUGGACCUGUACUGACGCUCAUGCACGAAAGCGUGGGGAGC
rnacentral:rRNA from 1 species